rnacentral:rRNA from 1 species
UACGGAGGAUGCAAGCGUUAUCCGGAAUUAUUGGGCGUAAAGCGUCCGUAGGUGGCUAAUCAAGUCUGCUGUCAAAGCGUGGAGCUUAACUCCAUACCGGCGGUGGAAACUGGCGAACUGGAGUGCGGCAGAGGGGGGUGGAAUUCCGCGUGUAGCAGUGAAAUGCGUAGAGAUGCGGAGGAACACCGAUGGCGAAGGCAGCCCCCUGGGCUAGCACUGACGCUCAGGCACGAAAGCGUGGGGAGCAAACAGG